AACGAACGCUGGCGGCAUGCCUAACACAUGCAAGUCGAACGAGACCUUCGGGUCUAGUGGCGCACGGGUGCGUAACGCGUGGGAACCUGCCCUUAGGUUCGGAAUAACUCCCCGAAAGGGGUGCUAAUACCGGAUAAUGUCUUCGGACCAAAGAUUUAUCGCCUUUGGAUGGGCCCGCGUUGGAUUAGCUAGUUGGUAGGGUAAAAGCCUACCAAGGCGACGAUCGGUAGCUGGUCUGAGAGGAUGAUCAGCCACACUGGGACUGAGACACGGCCCAGACUCGGUGGGGAGGCAGCAGUGGGGAAUUUGGGACAAUGGGGGCAAUCAUGAUGUAGCAAUGCCGGGUGAGGGAAGAAGGCCUUCGGGUUGUAAAGAGCUGUUGUUAGGGAAGAAAUAAUCCGGGCUAAUACCGCGGGGGGAUGACGGUACCGGAAGAAUAAGCACCGGCUAACUACGUG
rnacentral:rRNA from 1 species